GCGGGUGUGGUGGAAUCGGUAGACACGUUGGAUUCAAAAUCCAAUUUCGAAAGAAGUGCGAGUUCAAGUCUCGCCACCCGCACCA
rnacentral:tRNA from 2 species